UACGGAAGGCAGCAGGGGGAAUAUUGCACAAUGGGCGCAAGCCUGAUGCAGCCAUGCCGCGUGUAUGAAGAAGGCCUUCGGGUUGUAAAGUACUUUCAGUCGUGAGGAAGGUGUUAAGGUUAAUAACCUUAGCAAUUGACGUUAGCGACAGAAGAAGCACCGGCUAACUCCGUGCCAGCAGCCGCGGUAAUACGGAGGGUGCGAGCGUUAAUCGGAAUUACUGGGCGUAAAGGGCACGCAGGCGGUUAAUUAAGUUGGAUGUGAAAUCCCCGGGCUUAACCUGGGAAUGGCAUUCAAGACUGGUUAGCUAGAGUCUUGUAGAGGGGGUAGAAUUCCAUGUGUAGCGGUGAAAUGCGUAGAGAUGUGGAGGAAUACCGGUGGCGAAGGCGGCCCCUGGGACAAAGGCUGACGCUCAUGUGCGAAAGCGUGGGGAGCAAACAGGGAUUAGAUACC
rnacentral:rRNA from 1 species